UACGAAGGGGGCUAGCGUUGCUCGGAAUUACUGGGCGUAAAGCGUGCGCAGGCGGUGAUGUAAGACAGGUGUGAAAUCCCCGGGCUUAACCUGGGAAUGGCAUUGGUGACUGCACGGCUAGAGUGUGUCAGAGGGGGGUAGAAUUCCACGUGUAGCAGUGAAAUGCGUAGAGAUGUGGAGGAAUACCGAUGGCGAAGGCAGCCCCCUGGGAUAACACUGACGCUCAUGCGCGAAAGCGUGGGGAGCAAACAGG
rnacentral:rRNA from 1 species